rnacentral:rRNA from 1 species
CACGUAGGGCGCAAGCGUUGUCCGGAAUUAUUGGGCGUAAAGAGCUCGUAGGCGGUCCGUCACGUCCGCUGUGAAAACCCAGGGCUCAACCCUGGGCUUGCAGUGGAUACGGGCAGACUAGAGGUAGGUAGGGGAGAAUGGAAUUCCCGGUGUAGCGGUGAAAUGCGCAGAUAUCGGGAGGAACACCAGUAGCGAAGGCGGCACUCUGGGCCGGUACUGACGCUGAGGAGCGAAAGCGUGGGGAGCAAACAGG